CCUGGCUGGCUCAGUCAGAAGAGCAUGUGACUCUUGGUCAUGAGUACCAUGUUGGGUGUAGAGAUUACUUAAACAAUAAAUUUUAAAAAUUGUUAUUGGCCACAAAAUACUGGUAUGCCUCAUUUUACAAAACUAUUUCUAUACAGCUGAAAGUGAUUUGAAAUUUUCUCAAAUUCAUUACCAAGAAACUAACAAAAGGACUUUUAUUUGCAUUUCUUAAAAUGAAAAUUUCUUCUGUCAAAAAAGUACAUGUUUGUCUUUUGUGUUAUUACAUUUCCCAUCUGGGAAUUAUGAAGUAAGUGAGAGAGGCUCUCAAUCAAAUUUGGUGCUGAGGGUUGAAAGCAAGUGUCUAUUAGGCCUUUUCUUGAGGACUGGAAGAUAGCACAGACUGCCAGGUAAGUCUAUGGGUUCUGGAGUUAGGUGGGUUCUACCACUAACCAUCUGAAUGAAUGAAGCUGGGGAUGUUACUAAACCUGUCUGCCUCAAUUUUCUCUUUGUAAACUAAGAUAAUAGUAUCUGCCUCAUAUAACUAUUUGGAGGCUUAGAUAAGUUAGUACAUGUAAAUGACUGAAACAGACCCUGCAACCUACAGAUUGCUGUUUUUAUGGCCAUUUUAGGUUUUAUUUUGGGAAGACACUUAAGCUAGGAGUGUCCAAGUUAAUAAUGCUUUGGAUCACUGGUUCUCCAAAUAGAGGGGCCAGCAAUCUGUGUACAAGCCCCGCAGGUAAUUCCCAUCCACACUCGAGUGUGAGGAGCACUGUUUGAGAUUACCACCAGAAACUCCUAUGUUCUAGAAGAGCCAGUGUUCUUUCCAGAGGACUUGACUCAUCUGAAGAUUAUCUGCACCAGAAUUACCAGUGGAGUUUGCUUAAAAUGAUCCAAAUUAUGAGAAAAUACUUAACUAUGUCUUUGUAUGUGAAUAAAAAAGCCUGGAAGAACAUAAAGAUGAUAUUGGUUCCUGGGGAGGAAACUGGGUAGGUGAGAGGAAGAGGAGGAGAAAAAAAAAUAUAUAUAUAUAUAUUCCAUUCUUGUCUCUUUUGAAUUUUAAAGGAUACACAAUUUAAAAAUUAAAUACUGAAGUUAAUAGACCUAGAAUCAUAUAGAUGUGUGAGUUUUACCCAGAGCAUACUCAGUUAGAACCCAGAAUAGAACCUGCCAGAUCAGGGCACUUGGGUAGCUCAGUGGUUGAGCAUUUGCCUUUGGCUCAGGUCAUGAUUCCAGGGUUCUGGGAUCAAGUCCUGCAUCUCCCUCUACCUAUGUCUCUGCCUCUUUCUCUCUCUCUCUGUGUCUCUCAUGAAUAAAUAAAUAAAAUCUUAAAAAAAAAAAAAGAACCUACCAGAUCAGAAUCCUGUGGGAGACUUCAAGAAUCUCCAUGUAGUUGUCUUGGUUAUCAUGGUAAUACGCAGGCAGAAACCUACCUUACCCAUUGCUAAUUUCCAUGGUGUAAGAACUCCCACUGUGGUCAAGUUCCAGGCAUGCUGGAGGUUUGAUGUUUAAUUAAUUGCUCAUUUCACUAGACCAAUGGACAAAAGGAGACCUCUCCAUGUGUGGAUAGAUGGAAGACAUUAUUAUGGCUUGUAUCACUUGGAAAGCCUUGAUUAUAAUAGGACUAUGGUAUAGGAGACAUGGAUUCUACUGUAGCCUGCCACUAACAGGAUAACUGGGUAAGACCUUUACCUUUUCCAUCCCUGAGUUUCCUUAUCUAUCAAGUGGAGGCAUUAAAAACUGUUUUAUGGACAUAACUGAGUCAAAUGAGAUUAGAUUUGACACAAUUUCUAAAGUACAAAGUUAAUAUAAAAGGUAAUUAAAUCUGGCAUUGAUUGAUUGCACAUUAUUGACAUUUUAAUAACAUUUAGAAUCUAGUUGGGGCAGAAAUCCCUUACAGAAAAAAUGGGACAUGAGUUUCUAAAUAAUUUAAAAAUUGUACAAAAUUUAUGUCUAAAAAUCUAUUUCUCCCAAUAACAAAAUGCAGAGAAGAUUAAUUGCCUGUCUUUAAUCCCAUUCAGGCUAUAUGAAGUAUGUGGAUUUUAUAGUAGCUCUAUUACUAUGAAAGAGUUUAUUAUUCCAACAGAACUGGACAUAUUUGACUUAAAUUGAUCUACAGUGCCCUUGCCAAAAGAAAAGCAUUCACUUUAUCUGAAUUAUUAUUAAUUAGCUUCCUGCAGGCUGUAAAGUUGCCACGUGUGUAAACCUGCUCAAACAUGAGGCGGAAAUAAAUGAAGCAAUGGAAUAAGUAUAGGCUAGGUGUUUUUCCUUCCAGGCACACAGUCUGCCUUCCUGUCCUUUGCUGCAGCAGAUGAAGCUAGCCUCUGUCUGAGUACUACAUGGAAGCCGCUUGGCCUUCUCACAGGACACAUUCUCAACAUCUCUGCCUCAGAUGGAACUGAACUUAUUCUCACCAGACAUUAAAUUCUUCCUUAUUAUUUUUUUUUUUUAGUAGACUCCACAUCCACUGUGGGGCCCAAUGUGGGACUUGAAUGCCUGACCCUGAGAUCAAGACCUGAGUAGAGAUCGAGUUGGACAUUCAACCAAUCAAGCCAUCCAGUAUUCAUGGAAAUGGUCACUAAGCAUCAAGAUAAAAUGUGGACAUUGUCUACAUUUUCAAAAAGUGGAAGACCAAAAGGAGGAAAGAUGCUCAAGGUCAUACCAUAGAGAAAAGGCAUGAAGAGGCACUUUACUGUCACUCCUACUGGUAAGAAUCUGAGAAUUAAACCUUCCUGGACAGCUGGGCAAGCUUCAGUGCCUGAGAAUAUUCACGCCCUUCUGGAUGACUAAUUCAUUACUUCAGGAGGUAUAGAACCAGAUGAGCACCCAGCAGUUUUUUGCGGUGGCUUCCCCUUAUCUCCCCAAUAGAAAAUUAUUUUUUGCUUUGGCACUUCCCCGGGUUACCAUGACUCCCCAGCUACUAGUGUAAAUAAAAAUAAACUAUUCAGGAGUGUCCAUUACAAAUGAUAAAUUCUAGGGAGAGCUCUUGACUACAUAUCCUCAGAAAACAGGCUUUCUUGGAAAUAAAGGAAUGUGAGUAUGAAAAACAGCAGCAUUAUCACUAUACACUUUUUAAAUAUUUACUACUGUGUUAGUGAAAUAUUUAAAGUGAUUAUCUGAACUGCUCCCCCACCCCCAUCACAGGGGAGCCUGAAUAUGUCACCGCCUGAUACAACUGCCUGACAAUCUCACGUUGCCAUAAUGCUUUCCAGAAAACAAUUCAUGCCGAAGAGUGAAUGCAACUGUUUUUAUUUUUUAAUAGGAAAGAAAUAGAUCUCAAAUUAAGUAAGUGCUGAGCCUAGGCAUUAAGAGAUGCAGCAAGCUGUUUGCCCCAGAUUCGAGCUCUGCAAACAAGCCCCAGUAGGCUUCUCUGAAAACAUCAUUUUUGUUUCACUUGAGUGUGUGCUUGACUGCUUUUAGCUCCCUCUUCCUGGAUAGGGUCACUGGAAAGAACAGCUAAUAAAAGAGCCCCUCAGACCUGG